rnacentral:rRNA from 1 species
UGACUGGGGUGAAGUCGUAACAAGGUAACCGUAGGGGAACCUGCGGUUGGAUCACCUCCUUACCUAAGAGA